rnacentral:rRNA from 1 species
GAUGAACGCUGGCGGCGUGCCUAAUACAUGCAAGUCGAGCGAACAGAUGAGGAGCUUGCUCCUCUGACGUUAGCGGCGGACGGGUGAGUAACACGUGGAUAACCUACCUAUAAGACUGGGAUAACUUCGGGAAACCGGUGCUAAUACCGGAUAAUAUAUUGAACCGCAUGGUUCAAUAGUGAAAGACGGUUUUGCUGUCACUUAUAGAUGGAUCCGCGCCGCAUUAGCUAGUUGGUAAGGUAACGGCUUACCAAGGCAACGAUGCGUAGCCGACCUGAGAGGGUGAUCGGCCACACUGGAACUGAGACACGGUCCAGACUCCUACGGGAGGCAGCAGUAGGGAAUCUUCCGCAAUGGGCGAAAGCUUGACGGGGCAACGCCGCGUGAGUGAUGAAGGUCUUCGGAUCGUAAAACUCUGUUAUUAGGGAAGAACAAAUGUGUAAGUAACUAUGCACGUCUUGACGGUACCUAAUCAGAAAGCCACGGCUAACUACGUG